AACGAACGCUGGCGGCAGGCUUAACACAUGCAAGUCGAACGCCCCGCAAGGGGAGUGGCAGACGGGUGAGUAACGCGUGGGAAUCUACCCAUCCCUACGGAAUCACUCAGGGAAACUUGAGCUAAUACCGUAUACGUCCUUCGGGAGAAAGAUUUAUCGGGGAUGGAUGAGCCCGCGUUGGAUUAGCUAGUUGGUGGGGUAAAGGCCUACCAAGGCGACGAUCCAUAGCUAGUCUGAGAGGAUGAUAAGCCACACUGGGACUGAGACACGGCCCAGACUCCUACGGGAGGCAGCAGUGGGGAAUAUUGGACAAUGGGCGCAAGCCUGAUCCAGCCAUGCCGCGUGAGUGAUGAAGGCCUUAGGGUUGUAAAGCUCUUUCGCCGGUGAAGAUAAUGACGGUAACCGGAGAAGAAGCCCCGGCUAACUUCGUGCCAGCAGCCGCAGUAACAC
rnacentral:rRNA from 1 species